rnacentral:rRNA from 1 species
UGGGGAAUCUUGCGCAAUGGACGAAAGUCUGACGCAGCCACGCCGCGUGAGUGAAGAAGGCCUUCGGGUUGUAAAGCUCUGUCGGGAGGGACGAAAAUCUUACGUGUUAAUAGCGCGUAGGACUGACGGUACCUUCAAAGGAAGCACCGGCUAACUCUGUGCCAGCAGCCGCGGUAAUACAGAGGGUGCAAGCGUUGCUCGGAAUUAUUGGGCGUAAAGGGCAAGUAGGUGGUCUCAUUUGUCUGGGGUGAAAGCCUUGAGCUUAACUCAAGAAGUGCCCCAGAAACGGUGAGACUGGAGUCCUGGAGAGGGUCGUGGAAUUCCCGGUGUAGCGGUGAAAUGCGUAGAGAUCGGGAGGAACACCAGAGGCGAAGGCGGCGACCUGGACAGGUACUGACACUCAACUGCGAAAGCGUGGGGAGCAAAC